GGGAAACUUAACCGUCGCAGCAGCAGAGAUACGAAUUGACGUCACGCUUCAGUUCAGACUGACCGUUAAAGGGAAGACAAAAUGCCAAAGAGUCUCGAUGCAUGCUCAGUAAUCCAGGCAUCAAUGAAGAGGCUCGACAUGACCGACUGAGCUACUUCACUUCUCAUGGCAGCUCCAGUGCUAACUCGCGUUAGGUUUGUCUUCUCAGCGAGCUACGUUUCACUUGUCAUGUUUCAAAC